UACGAAGGGUGCAAGCGUUAUCCGGAUUCACUGGGUUUAAAGGGUGCGUAGGCGGGCAGGUAAGUCAGUGGUGAAAUCUCCGAGCUUAACUCGGAAACUGCCGUUGAUACUAUUUGUCUUGAAUGUUGUGGAGGUAAGCGGAAUAUGUCAUGUAGCGGUGAAAUGCUUAGAUAUGACAUAGAACACCAAUUGCGAAGGCAGCUUACUACACAAUUAUUGACGCUGAGGCACGAAAGCGUGGGGAUCAAACAGG
rnacentral:rRNA from 1 species